rnacentral:tRNA from 2 species
GCCCGAGUGGCGAAAUUGGUAGACGCAGCGGACUUAAAAUCCGCCGGCCUCACGGUUGUACCGGUUCGACUCCGGUCUCGGGCACCA